GUGGACGACAUGCUCGAUGAGGAGAGCGACGAGGAGGGAGAAGGCCGGGGGAAGAAGACGAUGGAAGAGGAGAUGGAGGAAGAAGAGGGGCAGCGGCCAAAGGGUAGUGGACAGAGCACUGAGGGAGAGAAGCACCACCAACGGCACCACCACCACGAGCAGCAGCACCAUGACCAGCUGAAGCAGCACUAUCACCAGCUGCAGCAGCAGGGUCUGGCUACCGUUGUAGAGGAGACGGAGAAAACACAGACGCCGCCUAGUCACCAGGGCUGUACAACGACGGCGGACCGCGUGCCAAGGGGACAGAAGCGCAAGCUUGCUGAGGCCAUGGAGGAGGAAGAGGGGGAGUCGGCGGACGAGUCCACCAAGGAUUCUAAUGAGGAAGAGGAAGGAAGCAGCUCAGAGGCUGAUGAGAUGGCCGCUGCCCUGGAUGCGGAGCUCAACGACUUCAUUUGACAAGGAUGAAUUUGAUUGGACAAAAGAACUGGGGCGUUUGAUUAGACGUUUGUGAACGAUGCCUCACAGAAACACUCUAAAUUACCCCAGCAGAUUUACGUCCAGGUUGUGCCUGAAUCUUUGUCUCUACGCUGUGUGUGUGUGUGGAUGUGUUUUAACGAGGUUGAAUGUGUUGUACAGAAUGAAAAGGUAGGUUAGUACAGUAGGAAAACGUCGGUGUGUAAAUAUAUACGCUCAAAAAAAUAAAGGGAACACUAAAAUAACACAUCCUAGAUCUGAAUGAAUGAAAUAUUCUUAUUAAAUACUUUUUCUUUACAUAGUUGAAUGUGCUGACAACAAAAUCACACAAAAAUGAUCCAUGGAAAUCAAAUUUAUCAACCCAUGGAGGUCUGGAUUUGGAGUCACACAAAAUUAAAGUGGAAAACCACACUACAGGCUGAUCCAACUUUGAUGUAAUGUCCUUAAAACAAGUCAAAAUGAGGCUCAGUAGUGUGUGUGGCCUCCACGUGCCUGUAUGACCUCCCUACAACGCCUGGGCGUGCUCCUGAUGAGGUGGCGGAUGGUCUCCUGAGGGAUCUCCUCCCAGACCUGGACUAAAGCAUCCGCCAACUCCUGGACAGUCUGUGGUGCAACGUGGCGUUGGUGGAUGGAGCGAAACAUGAUGUCCCAGAUGUGCUCAAUUGGAUUCAGGUCUGGGGAACGGGCGGGCCAGUCCAUAGCAUCAAUGCCUUCCUCGUGCAGGAACUGCUGACACACUCCAGCCACAUGAGGUCUAGCAUUGUCUUGCAUUAGGAGGAACCCAGGGCCAACCGCACCAGCAUAUGGUCUCACAAGGGGUCUGA
rnacentral:lncRNA from 1 species